UAUAGAUGGUACAGAGGCAUGGGUCGUUUAUUACUGAAGAACACCAAAAGAUUAUUAAAAAAAAGAAAUCUAAAUGUCAAACCCAAUUAAUAAUAAUGUUCGCAUAUAAUCGUGGCACUUUCGCUGUUGUCAGAAAUGUGGUGUCCGACAUGGUCCUCAGACGUCAAUAGUAACAGCGUUGAUGGCGACGGUGCGGUAUCGGUUCAUCUUGUCAGGUUGCGCAACACGUCCAGAGCCAGUGGCGUAAAUCAUCGACGACUUGAAGCAGACUCGACCAAUAUUUGCAAAGGGACGUCGUGGGGCGAGCGACACUUGCUGGACUUUGUACUGUAACGUGUGGCAGACUGUGUUAGUCAGUCCAAUUACCAUGUACACGUAGUAGAGCAAUCGCUGACUAAUGCGACACAGAUCGUAGGGCUCUGUGUAUCUAACGUAUUAUAAUAAUAUAGAUGAUUAACUUUCUCUCGAUAUACUAUUAUUGGAAAUCCAAUUAAUUACCGAGGAACUUAAUAGAAGUUCUGUGUAAAAUAAAUUUUAAAACCAGUAGCGAAAACUAAUUUUUUUUUAGGGACUAAUAUUGUCAACAUCAGCAGAUAUUAAAAUUGAUCAAGUUAUCAAUUAUUUGUCAUCCAAAAAUUUAUCACAUGCACAAAAUGCACUCCAUAAUUGCAUUGCUAAUUUAAGCAUAAAUGGUUUUGAACAAAUGAAUUAUGAAGAAUUCAAUCAAUUUUUAAGUAGACUGGGAGAUGAUAUAAUUUCUCGUGAAAUUCAGCCAAAAGAAAUGAGUCAAAAAAUAAUUGAAUUUUUAAAAUUCGAUAAAUCUAUUAUUACAGAAAAGUUUGAAGAUUGUUGUAUAAUUUUCCACUCAAGUUUGUUUGCAGUAGAAUAUCCCGAGAAAUGCGAAUUGACAAGAAUUUAAAUGUAUUCUUAAUACUAUUUUCCACUGUUAUAAUUCAAAUAACAAAAAAUGAUUAAGUUAGAAGUUCGGCUUUUAUACGGUGAGAACAUCAGGUUGUGGUUCUAUGGGAGUCAUAUGGUUCGAGGGUUUAGAACGACAAAGACAAAUAACGGGCGAUUUGAAAACAUAUAAAAAACGAUUAAAUUUGCGUUUUUAUCGAGCAUAUAAAAUUCUGUGAGCUUGCAUAAAAAUGUAUUCUCUUGAUGGACAUGAUACGUCAGAAAUGAAUGUGCACGAAGGAGAUUUAAACGAAGACGACCAAAACGAAGUACGAAAAUGUAUAGUCGGAGAUAUAAUUAAAAUUAUUUCUGGUAAAAUUCCUUUAGAUGGAGUUUUUUGAAUCUGACGAAAUCCCUUUUGCAGAGUAUUGUUGUGCUGCUUUUUACACGUAUUUGGUUUUAGAUGAUUCCAUGUUUUCUGGACUAAUAUUACCAACAUCAGCAGGUAUUAAACUUAAUAAAGUUAUUAAUUAUUUGUCAUCCAAAAAUUUACCACAAGCACAAUUUGCAUUCCAUAAUUGCAUUGCUAAUUUAAACAUAAAUGGUUUUGAACAAAUGAAUUAUGGUAAGACAUUGAAAUAACUUUGACAUCCUUAUAUAAUUAAAAUAAUUCAUUAAACGCUGAUUAUUACAUUUGUAAAAGAAGUAUAAUUUUUUUUUUUUGAUUUAUUCUAAUAUCAAUCGAGCCACUAUAUUUUUACAAGAAAAUAAACUGUAUAUAAUCCUAAAAGUCAUAUUAAAGCCUUAAGAAAAACCUAAUACGAAUGUCAAACAUCUUUGCAACAUUAUAAUCUAUUUAGUUUUGUAAAACAUGUGAAUUAUUUUAUUAAAUAUAGUAAAAAAUGUAAGACGCUAUGUUAAUAGUAUUGUAACAUUAUUA